rnacentral:rRNA from 1 species
UACGAAAGGGGCUAGCGUUGCUCGGAAUCAUUGGGCGUAAAGCGCGCGCAGGUGGCCAUGCAAGUUGAAAGUGAAAGCCCGGGGCUUAACCUCGGAAUUGCUUCCAAAACUGCACGGCUAGAGAAUGGUAGAGGAUAGUGGAAUUCCCGGUGUAGAGGUGAAAUUCGUAGAUAUCGGGAGGAACAUCAGUGGCGAAGGCGGCUAUCUGGGCCAUUUCUGACACUGAGGCGCGAAAGCGUGGGGAGCAAACAGG